AUUGCUUCUCGGCCUUUUGGCUAAGUUCAAGUGUAGUAUCUGUUCUUAUCAGUUUAAAUUGUACCUGAAAAUGAAACCACACUGAUCUUAACAGCUUGGGAACCCACC
rnacentral:snRNA from 1 species